rnacentral:rRNA from 1 species
AGCGAACGCUGGCGGCAGGUCUAACACAUGCAAGUCGAACGGGCUCUUCGGAGCUAGUGGCGGACGGGUGAGUAACACGUGGGAACGUGCCCUUAGGUUCGGAAUAAGCCCGGGAAACUGGGUCUAAUACCGAAUGUGCCCUUCGGGGGAAAGAUUUAUCGCCUUUAGAGCGGCCCGCGUCGGAUUAGCUUGUUGGUGAGGUAAUGGCUCACCAAGGCGACGAUCAGUAGCUGGUCUGAGGGGAUGACCAGCCACAUUGGGACCGAGACACGGCCCAAACUCCUCCGGGAGGCAGCAGUGGGGAAUCUUGCGCAAUGGGCGAAAGCCUGACGCAGCCAUGCCGCGUGGAUGAUGAAGGUCUCAGGAUUGUAAAAUCCUUUCACCGGUAAAGAUAAUGACUGUAGCCGGAGAAGAAGCCCGGCUAACUUCGUGCCAGCCGCCGCAGUAACAC